GCCCGGGUGGCGAAACUGGUAGACGCAAGGGACUUAAAAUCCCUCGGGGCAACACUCCGUGCCGGUUCAAGUCCGGCCCCGGGCA
rnacentral:tRNA from 1 species